UACGUAGGGCGCAAGCGUUGUCCGGAAUUAUUGGGCGUAAAGAGCUCGUAGGCGGCUUGUCGCGUCGACCGUGAAAACUUGGGGCUCAACCCCAAGCCUGCGGUCGAUACGGGCAGGCUAGAGUUCGGUAGGGGAGACUGGAAUUCCUGGUGUAGCGGUGAAAUGCGCAGAUAUCAGGAGGAACACCGGUGGCGAAGGCGGGUCUCUGGGCCGAUACUGACGCUGAGGAGCGAAAGCGUGGGGAGCGAACAGG
rnacentral:rRNA from 1 species